rnacentral:lncRNA from 10 species
UGGGACCCUGUCUCUACCCGAAAAAAGAAAAAAAGUUAAGGUGAGAACUACUAUGAUUAGCAGUGGUACAAUUAAGUUCACAUCCUGACAGCAUCCAAUAUACAAAAAUGACUCACCUCCUUGAAUAGAGAACAAUGCACCUAAAACAGAAAUCCUGUAAGAAAUUCUACAGAGAACCCUCUUAUUGGUAUGUCCUGCAGUCAUUUAUGGCUUGUGGUCAUAUUUAUUACUACAAUUUAUUACAUCCUCUUUGACAACAGUUUUUUUAGUACUGGUGGUUUUGGGCAACACAGCACCAUAACAGCAAGAUUUAACUUCGGGGAUUAUAAAAGAAUGACAAAUUAUGGUCAAGAUAAAAAUUGUGGCUGGGAACAGUGGCUCACGCCUAUAAUCUCAGCACUUUGGAAGACUGAGACAGGAGGAUUGCUUUGGCCCAGGAGUUGGAGACUAGCCUGGGGAGCAUAACAAGACCUCCUCAGUACUAAAAAUUAAAAAAAAAUUAGCCAGGCAUGAUGGUGCACACCUGUAGUCCCAGCGACUCAGGAGGCUGAGGCAGGAGGAUUACUUAAGCCCAGGAGCUCAGAGCUGCAAUGAGCUAUGAUUGCACCACUGCACUCCAGCCUGGGUUAAAAGGCAAGACCCUGUCUCAAAAAAAAAAAGGUAAAAAUUAUAAGUAGAUAUGCAUGAAAUGUAUAAUUUACAUCAGGAAAUAAAUGAGGUUUAUACACAUGGUGAUAUUGAUUCACAAUAUCAAACAAAUAAUUUGGUAACAGUAUACAUUUGAUCUGAUCCAUGUUGACAAGGGAUAUUUUAAUAGAGCUUCUCAGUAUACAAAAAAAAGAGAAAAACAUUUGCAAGUACACAACUGAAAAACAGUGAAUAAACCUUUUUUUUUUUUUUUGAGACAGAGUAUUGCUCUCUUGUCCAGGCUGGAGUACAGUGGCG